rnacentral:rRNA from 1 species
AAAUCGAAAUCGCUGUGAAGAUGCAGUGUACCCGCGGCUAGACGGAAAGACCCCGUGAACCUUUACUGCAGCUUGACACUGAACUUUGACCUUACUUGUGUAGGAUAGGUGGGAGGCUUUGAAGCUGGAACGCUAGUUCCAGUGGAGCCGUCCUUGAAAUACCACCCUGGUAAUGUUGAGGUUCUAACUCUGUCCCGUGAUCCGGGACGAGGACCGUGUCUGGUGGGUAGUUUGACUGGGGCGGUCUCCUCCUAAAGAGUAACGGAGGAGUACGAAGGUGCGCUCAGCGUGGUCGGAAAUCACGCGUAGAGUAUAAAGGCAAAAGCGCGCUUAACUGC